rnacentral:tRNA from 1 species
GUCUUGGUGGUAUAGUGGUCAGCAUAGCUGCUUUCCACGCAGUUGACCCGGGUUUGAUUCCCGGCCAACGCA